UCAGUAACAAAGAUUCAGCCUUGG
rnacentral:miRNA from 1 species